ensembl:lncRNA
UAAUCGGCAUAGGCAUUGAAAAAUCAUAAAUCGGUCGACCUCUACCGACAACCGCCGAAACAUCUAUCCUAUGAGAACAUUUCGGAAUGGUACUCUGAAGUAUCCAUUUUAACCACGUAAGACUUGAUCUUCAGGGAGGCAGAGACCGACUCGUAUGAACUCUGACAGACGGACGAUUCCACAACGACACACUGAGCGUAAAUAUAUAUUGAUUGCAGUUAUUCCCGAAUGAGUGAGCAGUCAUGUGCAAAGGAAUAGCAUUUCAAUUAAUAUAAUUAUCAACUGUAGUGAUUCCUUUUGUUGGUCUUUCCCGCUGUUCAGUCCACACCCACUUCCCUUUGUCCACCAAGCAGUCAUAUUGGCUUAGCCCACUAAGGAACCUCCCUAAUCAUUUCCUUGUAACCAUAUCUGUUUGUUUAUGCAUUUCUGUGAUUAUUUAGUUAGUAAAUAAACGAUUAAGAUAAUUGGUGUAUGGAUGAUUCAUAGUAAAGGCUGGGUUCGUGCAUAUAACCAACAAUUUCCGACACUUGGAAUGAGACUAACAUGAGGUAAAGAAUAAUUCAUUAAUUAGACUAAUUGAUCAGAUAUUAAGUUAUCUGAAUCUUAAUCUUAAGAUUUCCUUGGUGCCCCGACUUCCUAGUUAAUUACAUUUACAUGAUUAGUUUAAUCGCAUAAUAAUAAUUACAGAGAAGUGAUUUGAUAAACAUGUCUUCACUUUUAAUGAUGCCAAAGACACUUGCUAGACCUGUCAAAAGUUCUCUCAAAGUGCAGAAUGGUGUCCACAACCAGCUUGAUUCGCAAGUAAAAAAGUUCAGUAAACGCAGUCGUCAGAUCCUGGACAGUGAUGAGGCUCCAGUCGGGAAAGAACAGGCAGUCAAACGGGAACAAGAGGACAGGGCUGUCCUACCCAGGAAGGAAAAGCAAGGAAGCCGGUCCCAGAGAGGGAGCUGGACAGCAGGAGUGGCAGUGAGGAGGUGGUGAAGGAAGAACAAGGACCUCAGAAAAAAAGAGCACGGGUUGACAAAACACAGGACAGCACAGGUAAGGUUCAUUUUCCUCCAUUACAAGUGUGUUGCUUCCUACUCCUUGUAUUCUCUGUCGAGAAUGAAGAGGAAGCGAUGGAGGUGGGAGGAGAG